GACGAACGCUGGCGGCGUGCCUAAUACAUGCAAGUUGAGCGAUGAAGCUUGGUGCUUGCACCAAUUUGAAGAGCAGCGAACGGGUGAGUAACGCGUGGGGAAUCUGCCUUUGAGCGGGGGACAACAUUUGGAAACGAAUGCUAAUACCGCAUAAUAACUUUAAACAUAAGUUUUAAGUUUGAAAGAUGCAAUUGCAUCACUCAAAGAUGAUCCCGCGUUGUAUUAGCUAGUUGGUGAGGUAAAGGCUCACCAAGGCGAUGAUACAUAGCCGACCUGAGAGGGUGAUCGGCCACAUUGGGACUGAGACACGGCCCAAACUCCUACGGGAGGCAGCAGUAGGGAAUCUUCGGCAAUGGGCGGAAGUCUGACCGAGCAACGCCGCGUGAGUGAAGAAGGUUUUCGGGUCGUAAAACUCUGUUGGUAGAGAAGAACGUUGGUGAGAGUGGAAAGCUCAUCAAGUGACGGUAACUACCCAGAAAGGGACGGCUAACUACGUG
rnacentral:rRNA from 1 species